rnacentral:rRNA from 1 species
GGAGUUAGGAAAUGCAGAGGUGUUAAUAGCGCCUUUGCUUGACUAAGGCUCCAGAGGAAGCCACGGCUAACUCUGUGCCAGCAGCCGCGGUAAUACAGAGGCGGCAAGCGUUGUUCGGAAUUAUUGGGCGUAAAGAGCACGUAGGCGGCCUUGCGAGUCAGUUGUGAAAGCCUUCCGCUUAACGGAAGAAUGCCAGCUGAUACUACAGGGCUUGAGUACGGGAGGGGAGAGUGGAACUUCUGG